rnacentral:rRNA from 1 species
UACGUAGGCAGCGAGCGUUGUUCGGAGUUACUGGGCGUAAAGAGUGCGUAGGCGGUUUUCUAAGUUUGGUGUGAAAUCUCCCGGCUCAACUGGGAGGGUGCGCCGAAUACUGAAUGACUAGAGUGCGGGAGAGGAGAGUGGAAUUCCUGGUGUAGCGGUGAAAUGCGUAGAUAUCAGGAAGAACACCCGUGGCUAAGGCGGCUCUCUAGUACGGUACUGACGCUGAGACGCGAAAGCGUGGGGAGCGAACAGG